UACGUAGGGUGCAAGCGUUAAUCGGAAUUACUGGGCGUAAAGCGUGCGCAGGCGGCUCGGAAAGAAAGAUGUGAAAUCCCAGGGCUUAACCUUGGAAUGGCAUUUUUAACUCCCGAGCUAGAGUAUGUCAGAGGGGGGUAGAAUUCCACGUGUAGCAGUGAAAUGCGUAGAGAUGUAGAGGAAUACCGAUGGCGAAGGCAGCCCCCUGGGAUAAUACUGACGCUCAGGCACGAAAGCGUGGGGAGCAAACAGG
rnacentral:rRNA from 1 species